CCAGCAGCCGCGGUAAUUCCAGCUCCAAUAGCGUCUAUUAAAGUUGUUGCAGUUAAAAAGCUCGUAGUUGGAUUUCUGAUGCUACGGAAUUCCUGCACUCGCAAGAGGAAGGGGAGGAAGUGGUGUCAUCUUCUCAGAGCCGGCAUGUCCGCUUAAUUGCGUGUGUGUUUGGACCUGGGACCUUUACUUUGAAAAAAUUAGAGUGUUCAAAGCAGGCCUUCGCUUGAAUACAUUAGCAUGUAAUAAUAGAAUAGGACUUUGGUUCUGUUUUGUUGGUUUCUAGGACCGAAGUAAUGAUUAAUAGGGAUAGUUGGGGGCAUUAGUAUUUAAUUGUCAGAGGUGAAAUUCUUGGAUUUAUGAAAGACUAACAUCUGCGAAAGCAUUUGCCAAGGAUGUUUUCA
rnacentral:rRNA from 1 species